GAUUUAUUGAGAUGCAAGAAGAUCCUCAGUCUCAUUCAUUUUCAUUCAUCUCAAUGUCACCCUGAAAUAUGACUUCCGCUCCCACUGGAUCCCCCAACAUUAUUGGGCUAGAGUACUGUCAACUUCCGCUCCCACUGGAUCCCCCAACAUUAUUGGGCUAGAGUACUGCGAAUCUGGCGAUGCCUGUAUGCCAUUGGAUCAGAGUGCUGUCAAUUGCCGCCUGAUUGUUGCAUGCAAAGUUUGCAUUUGGAGCACUCAACAAUGCCAUUAGAUUAAUGGGCUCUGUAAGUGCUUUGGCAAGGUAACGCUUUUUUUUUUUUGCAUUGCAAUAAAGCUAAGUUUAAAGGCCAAUUUAAUAUAUUGGUACAGUAAAAAAAGUGCACAAAAUCAGUAUUUUGUUUAGGCAGUCUUUGUGGCAUUUGAUAAAUCUUGUUGCAAGAUUUGUCGAAAAGGUGUGCGUUUUUGUGCCAAUGCAUUGUUUAAGGGGUCAUAUGAUGCAAUUUUAAUUUUUCCUUUUUCUUUGGAGUGUUACAAGCUCUUGGUGCAUAAAGAAGAUCUGUAAAGUUGCAAAGACUAAAGUCUCAAUUGUGAAAGCGAAACUACUUUGUUUGGCCUUCCAAAAGAGGACACAACUAGAAAUCAGUGGUUAAGUUGUAUUAUCAACACUGUUCCAGAACAGUUCAACCCAAAUAUUCAGAUGUGUGCUACGCAUUUUACGGAGGAAGCAGACUGUUUCCUGAACCAGUAGCCUGCAAUGCGUCUGUGGCACAACGGCUGUUUCUAUAAAGUUGGGCAGUUCAGACUUUGCAAGGACAGUUGCUUCAGACUCACAGCCUUGGAGUCUGGAGCUUCGCCAGCAUGCAGUGAACCAGAGAAGUGGAGAGACGUCCCAGCGGCCCACAGCUCUGACAACACCCUUCUAUCCCCCUCUGAAAUCUUUAUUUACUGCCCCCGCACUACUGCUCCCUCGCUGGGGCAAUUAAAGCAUCGUUGUGUCAGACGGUGA
ensembl:lncRNA